rnacentral:rRNA from 1 species
UACGUAGGGUGCGAGCGUUGUCCGGAAUUAUUGGGCGUAAAGAGCUUGUAGGCGGUCUGUCGCGUCUGCUGUGAAAAUCCGGGGCUCAACCCCGGACUUGCAGUGGGUACGGGCAGACUAGAGUGUGGUAGGGGAGACUGGAAUUCCUGGUGUAGCGGUGAAAUGCGCAGAUAUCAGGAGGAACACCGAUGGCGAAGGCAGGUCUCUGGGCCACUACUGACGCUGAGACACGAAGGCCAGGGGAGCAAACGGG